UCCCUCUUAGCUCAGUUGGUAGAGCGCGUCACUAGUACAUGUUGCAAACAUAGAUAAAUGACGAGGUCAGUCGUUCAAGUCGGCUAGAGGGAA